UUUUUUUACUGGGUAGACUUCUAUGAAGCUGCUGGUAGACUUCUAUGAAGUUGCUGAUGAUUAUUCUUUCCCUAAAUUAAGAAAAAGUUGAGUUGUGGUCUAAUAUGAUCCAUUAUUUACCAAAGAUGUUCCCAGUACCCACUCAUGUAAAAGAUAUAAUUUGGGAAACACCAUCCACCAUGAGACUAUUAAAGAUGAUAUGAUGCGAGUGGUGAUUGUAGAUAUUAAAGAUUGUUCUGCUUGUGUUCCUGUGCCUAGUGAGGAGGUUCAAACAGUGGGACAAGCACCAGGGAAAUUUGUCAUUUGGCCAUCCAGAUAGUCAAUUUUAGACAUUUCUAAGAAGACAAACAUUGUUACACCUCCACAACCACAAUUGUCUCCUCUAUAACAACUUUAGAGGCGUCUUUGGAAACUCAUUCAAGGUUGCGGGGCAUUCCAUCUGUAUCUAGGAAGAAGAUGCAAAUAGUGACACCUAAUUGUCGACGUCAAUUAGGCAGCUAUGAGUGUGGGUAUUACGUAAUGAAGCACAUGCACACUAUUAUUUGUACAAACAUUACUGAUUCAUGGGAUAAGGUAUUAAAAAACUAACUUAAUACUUAUCUAACUGUUCAUUACAAAAUUGUUCUAACUUAAUUAUU